rnacentral:lncRNA from 1 species
AGGAUUUCUAGAAACAAGCGGAAGCUAAUUUAGUUUAACCUAGUGAACAUGUCAAACCCGUGCGUAACGCUCCCGGGAAGGAACGUUGAUCGAUAACUCAUUAGUUGCAUCGAUCGACGGGCUGAAAGGUGUAUCGAUCGACACCCUGUUGUUGGAAUCGAUCGACAUUUUCUCAGGACCAACAAGCGACAGUUAAGGUCCUAGAUCCGGUAAUAGAUAGUCUAAAUAUACGGAAGUUGAUCGACUAUUCUUAUUUGUUUGAGUUCUAGAAUAUCCAUAAAUGCUUAGUAGUCUAUGUCUUUAUAAUCCUGAUUGUCUGAAUAGAAACCCUAAGUCUAACGUUUCCCAUAUAUGUCUUAAAACCCAAUCAAUCAAU